CACUGCAAUCAUUAGAAAAUAAUUUAGUAAUUGUACCAUGUGAUGACGAUAUUCCGUGUACUUUAGAUCAAGAAGAGUUUUGCCCGCAACAGGAUUUAAAGGAGAAAGUUAACAGUGAAAUUGGAAAUGACAAGGCCUUUGAUGACUUUCAAUCUAUAGAGAUACAGGAUAUGGAAGUGGAUCAAACUGAAAAAG
rnacentral:lncRNA from 1 species